rnacentral:rRNA from 1 species
CCUACGUGCGACAGCAGUGAGGAAUAUUGGUCAAUGGGCGCGAGCCUGAACCAGCCAAGUAGCGUGAAGGAUGACUGCCCUACGGGUUGUAAACUUCUUUUAUAAAGGAAUAAAGUGAGGCACGUGUGCCUUUUUGUAUGUACUUUAUGAAUAAGGAUCGGCUAACUCCGUGCCAGCAGCCGCGGUAAUACGGAGGAUCCGAGCGUUAUCCGGAUUUAUUGGGUUUAAAGGGAGCGUAGAUGGGUUGUUAAGUCAGUUGUGAAAGUUUGCGGCUCAACCGUAAAAUUGCAAUUGAUACUGGCAGUCUUGAGUACAGUUGAGGUAGGCGGAAUUCGUGGUGUAGCGGUGAAAUGCUUAGAUAUCACGAAGAACUCCGAUUGCGAAGGCAGCUUACUAAACUGCCACUGACAUUGAUGCUCGAAAGUGUGGGUAUCAAACAGGAUUAGAUACCCUAGUAGUC